AUGAUCUAUGCUAAUUAUUGAUAGUUUCAAAAUUAGUUUAAAUUUAUUUUCUCAGGUAGCUAAUUAAGUAGAGCUGGCAUCAAUGAUGGAUCUGCACCAACACACACAACUGUGAAAUGUUGAAGAAGAGUCACAUUUCACAUCUAUUUCCGUGGAACAAUGAGACAAGACACUGUUUGCAGAAUCCUAUAUGUAUUUUUUCUAUCUUUUUCUAUGUGUGUUAGGUCCAACAAGAAAAAGUGAUCCGACAGAUAUAUCUGUAUGUGUUCUCUUGCUUUCUCAAGAAAUCAGAUUUUAUUUUACUGUCGCUGAUAGCAACAAAAGAAAACAUGACUUGAUUUGUGAGGGGUAUCGUUAUAUAUA
rnacentral:sRNA from 1 species